rnacentral:SRP_RNA from 12 species
CCGGAAGGGUGCAGCGUGGUGGUGGGCAUCGAGUGCAUGGAGGGCUCCGAGAUGUACUUGAUGG